GACGAACGCUGGCGGCGUGCUUAACACAUGCAAGUCGAGCGGGCCUUGUCCCCUUUUUUUUUGGGGGUGGGGUUAGUGGCGAACGGGUGAGUAACACGUGAGUAACCUGCCCCUCACUUCUGGAUAACCGCUUGAAAGGGUGGCUAAUACGGGGUGUUCUGGCCUGCUCGCAUGGGUGGGUUUGGAAAGAUUCGACCGGUUUUGGUUGUUUUGGUGGGGGAUGGGCUCGCGGCCUAUCAGCUUGUUGGUGGGGUGAUGGCCUGCCAAGGCUUUGACGGGUAGCCGGCCUGAGAGGGUGGGCGGUCACACUGGGACUGAGACACGGCCCAGACUCCUACGGGAGGCAGCAGUGGGGAAUAUUGCACAAUGGGCGCAAGCCUGAUGCAGCGACGCCGCGUGAGGGAUGGAGGCCUUCGGGUUGUGAACCUCUUUCGCCAGUGAAGAAGGUCCUGCUCUUUGUGGUGGGGUUGACGGUAGCUGGGUUAAUGAAGCGCCGGCUAACUACGU
rnacentral:rRNA from 1 species